AGCGAACGCUGGCGGCAGGCUUAACACAUGCAAGUCGAGCGGGCACUUUCGGGUGUCAGCGGCGGACGGGUGAGUAACGCGUGGGAACGUGCCCUCUGGUUCGGAAUAACUCAGGGAAACUUGAGCUAAUACCGGAUACGCCCUUUUGGGGAAAGGCUUGCUGCCGGAGGAUCGGCCCGCGUCUGAUUAGCUAGUUGGUGAGGUAACGGCUCACCAAGGCGACGAUCAGUAGCUGGUCUGAGAGGAUGAUCAGCCACACUGGGACUGAGACACGGCCCAGACUCCUACGGGAGGCAGCAGUGGGGAAUAUUGGACAAUGGGCGCAAGCCUGAUCCAGCCAUGCCGCGUGAGUGAUGAAGGCCUUAGGGUUGUAAAGCUCUUUUAUCCGGGACGAUAAUGACGGUACCUGAGGAAUAAGCCCCGGCUAACUUCGUG
rnacentral:rRNA from 1 species